AUGAAUGCCCGCACCACUGCGCUCGCGUGCCCCGGCCUGACGGCGUUCGCCCUGCGCCUCAUCAACAAGCUCUCCUCGACGAGCGCGACCAGCACCGGCAACCUCGUCUUCUCGCCGCUGUCCAUCUACGCGGCGCUCGCCCUAACGUCCGCCGGCGCCCGGGGCGUGACUCUCCAGCAGCUGCUCGCCCUUCUCGGCGCCAAGUCCCGCAAGGACCUAGCCAAGAUCGUCCGCGGCCUGGCGGAGCAGGCCCUCGCCGACCGCACGCUGGGCGGUGAGCCGCGCGUCUCCUUCGCGUGCGGCAUGUGGCACGACGAGACCCGGAAGCUCAGGCCAUCCUUGCGCGAAGCCGCCGCCCAGUUCUACAAGGCGGAAACCGGCGCCGUCAACUUCCAUGAAAAGUUCUAUCCAAUCACGCGUGGGUGUUCGACGCUGCAGCCAGGAGAAGCCGUGAAGCAGAUCAACGCCUGGGCGGCGGCGGCGACGAACAACCUCAUCGACUCGGUGCUCACCGAGCAGCAGGUGUCCACCGAGACGGAUGUCAUCGUCGCCAACACCGUCUACUUCAAGGCCAUCGGCAAGGAGCAGUACAUCGCCUGCCACCAAGGGUUCAAGGUGCUCAAGCUCGACUACAGGCAAGGGCACGUGUGGUCUUCGCCGCCGGCGUCCUUCUCCAUGUGCAUCUUCCUCCCAGUCCCAGACGAGCGCGACGGGCUCCGAGGCCUUGUCCAGAGGAUCGCGUCCAGCCCGAACUUCAUCCGCGCGCACCUUCCGACGAGCCUCGUCUCGGUGGGCGACUUCAAGCUGCCUAGAUUCAAGCUCACCUUUUCGGCCGACAUAUCUGGCAUUCUCCAGCGGUUGGGACUCCAUAUGGCGGAAGCCGACAUGUCCAACAUGAUGGAGGACGACGGCACUGGCAGGCCGUUGGCUCUGAACGGGGUCGUCCACAAGGCUGUCAUCGAAGUGAACGAGGACGGUACCGAGGCGGCGGCCGUCACCGCCGAUCUAAUGUGCGGCUGCGGUCCUCCACCGAAAACACCGCCGGUUCUCGUGGAUUUCGUCGCUGACCAUCCGUUUGCCUUCUUUGUAAUCGAGGAGGAGUCGGGCGCCAUCGUCUUCGCUGGGAACGUCCUUGAACCCUCUCGGUCGAUUCCUGGAGAGAAUCUUCGUUGCCGUGAGUCCGUACGUCGUGCUCCUAACUUCGUCGGGAGGAGGCCCGAGCAUCCAUGGACUUUGGGUGAGAAACAACCGCUCGGGAUGUUGGGUCUAACCCUAGCUAGCUCUCUAGGGACGGAGGUAGAAGAAGAACUCGAACUGUUACAACUGACUCGAUAUACAGCCGUAUUUGUAGCUAACCGGAACGUAGCGCCCACGCACGCCGCGGUUACCCCACGUACGCUUCCUGGCGAUCCGGUCAUCCAACGUGAGCUGCCCACUCCUCCGCUUGACCUGGAUGCCAUCACGCGCCCGCCGUUGUUACACAACGGAGCUAGCUACAAACCUGGCUUGACUCUAAUCUAUCCUCGAACGUGGCCAAACCAACGUCCGGACUCGAUCUAG
rnacentral:rRNA from 1 species